rnacentral:lncRNA from 1 species
UGACAUAUGCCGGCCGGUCUUGCGGGGUUUUCAAAAUUUAGCUGGAAAAAAUGAUUUUAUUGUGUAAUAUUUGUUCAUAAACUUUUCCUAAGGCUCUGCUCGAGCCCCUGUAAUAACAUGUUAAUAAUAACACACACGAGUACACAGUCAUCAUGAAUCCUUUCACAGAAGAGGAGAUGGAGUGAUCUCAGAUGAGGCAGCUUAAAUUGUGAUCGGAAGUGACUGGUGAGGUUUAAUCAUUGACCAAGGAUUAACUCUAAUGCUGGAAGGUAAAUAAGCAUCGAGAGACAAAGAUUUAUGAUAAUGGAGGCCUUAUAAUAAUAGUUCAGCUCUAUCUGCAACUGCAACUUCAAAAUUAAUUAAAAAAUGACAACCAUGAAGUUUUUUUUUGAAUUUUCAAGAUUAUACAAGAACUUUGAAAAGCAUUGUCAAGAAUUUUUGUGGCAAUUAAAUGAGUUAUUUGAAUGAGAUCUAAUCCACAAAGUGAUACAAGUACUACUUCACAGAUACAACAGAAGAUGUGGAUAUUAUAGUUCAGUUACAGUUAUAUAUGAAACACACAUAACUCAAGAUUUGGAACUUUCAAUGUAUCACGCAGCAAACUGAUCUAUAAAUAAUAUUCAAUUCACUGUAUUUCUAUAAGUCUUAUUGUUUGGUAAAAUAUGCUGUUUAUUUAGAAUUUUCCUUCAUGUUGUUUAUGGUUAAAUUUCAUUUUUCUUUAAUAGCUUGACUUCUAUAUUUUGUCCCCAUUGUGGGAACAAUAGCACCAUUUAUGGAUUCUAUAAAAUAUUCCAUUGACUGUAUUUCUAUGUCUUUUUUGUUUGUAUUUUUUUCUUAUGGUGUCAUUUUUCUAAUAUUUUUGCUUUGUUGUAAUCUGCAGUUUAUUCCUGCUAAAUAUUAGCAGUUCCUUUGUUGUUCUAGAGUUAUGUCCGUGGAUUUAGGCCUUGUUAUGCCUGUACCCCUGUUUGUUUCUCCACUGGAUAGUCUCUUUUUCCCUGAUCCAGAGUUUUACUAUUUAUUACAUUUGGGUAUUCCCAUUACUGGCUCUAGACCAAGAUACAAUUCCAAUGAUCCUUGUUUUGAUAAUUCAUCAGUUGUUUUGUAGUACUUUCAUUUCUCUAUAAUACUUUGCCUCCCAUGUUUUCUUUAUUGUGAAAAUAAUAUCAUCAUUCAUUGCUUCUGUAAAAUAUUCCAUGGAUUGUAUGUCCAUAAGUCUUCUUUUAUUUGUAUUAUUUUUCUUAUGAUGUCAUACUUCUAAUACUUUUUUGCCUGUGUAAUUUCUUGCACUGAGUUUUAGUUUUGAUGAAUUUAUUUUCAGGCCAUCUGUUUCAGAUUAUAUGCCAUGAAUUGCUAUAAUUUUACGGUUCCUGUUGGUUCGGUUUGUCCGUGUUUAAAUAUAAUUUAAACACACCAUAACAUAGUUAAAAACAAUCUCAAAAUAAGGAUUAAUUUCCUAUCAAUUCCUGGCGCAUUUGCCAUUUAUUAAUAAUCUUGACUUGUCCACAGAGGAUGUCAUUUCUGGCUCUUCUACCAUUUUUUCCAAUGAAUUUUUCUGAAUAAUGUCGACUCCAGAGCAUGAUAGCUAGCCUCCCCGCAAAAGAGGAGACCCGGGUCGCCCCCUAACCCUGAUGUUCGGGCAUCGAUGACCUAUGUAGCAUGCAUAGGUACCCAAGGGAGUCACCACCCUCUGGUUUACGAGCUAGGUGUUCUAAC